CACGUAGGCGGACUCUUAAGUCGGUGGUGAAAUCCUGGAGCUCAACUCCAGAACUGCCUUCGAUACUGGGAGUCUCGAGUUCGGGAGAGGUGAGUGGAACUGCGAGUGUAGAGGUGAAAUUCGUAGAUAUUCGCAAGAACACCAGUGGCGAAGGCGGCUCACUGGCCCGAUACUGACGCUGAGGUGCGAAAGCGUGGGAGCAAACA
rnacentral:rRNA from 1 species